GCCCAUUAAGCCCCAUUUAUCUUUUCAUAAUUUUAUUACAUAUAGUUUCAUCAGUCAUAUUUGAAAAUCUUACAAAAUCCUUGUUAUUUUUUCAUUGUUUUUGAAAGAUAAAUGAUGACAAUGUUAAUUGUAUGAAAAAUCUAGAGAGAAAAUUUUCCCGCCAAAUUUUCAAUGGCAUAUAUCUCGAAAACAAGCACACGGACCCUUAAUUUUUUCUGCUUUUCUAGUUUC
rnacentral:lncRNA from 1 species